AAACUUUCAACAACGGAUCUCUUGGUUCCGGCAUCGAUGAAGAACGCAGCGAAAUGCGAUAAGUAAUGUGAAUUGCAGAAUUCCGUGAAUCAUCGAGUCUUUGAACGCACAUUGCGCCCCCUGGCAUUCCGGGGGGCAUGCCUGUCCGAGCGUCAUU
rnacentral:rRNA from 1 species